rnacentral:rRNA from 1 species
GACGAACGCUGGCGGCGUGGAUUAGGCAUGCAAGUCGAACGGUAUCAUCCUUUCGGGGGUGAGAGAGUGGCGAACUGGUGAGUAACACGUAGGUUAUCUACCCUCAAGACGGGGACAACCCAGGGAAACUUGGGCUAAUACCGGAUGUGAGCAACUUUUAGUUGUUUGAAAGGUGGCGUAAGCUGUCGCUUGGGGAUGGGCCUGCGUCCUAUUAGUUAGUUGGUGAGGUAACGGCUCACCUAGGCAAUGAUAGGUAGGCGGCCUUAACGGGUGGUCGCCCACACUGGGAUUGAGAUACGGCCCAGACUCCUACGGGAGGCAGCAGUCGAGAAUAGUCUACAAUGGUCGGAAGACUGAUAGUGCGACGCCGCGUGAACGAUGAAUCCCUUCGGGUGUAAAGUUCUUUUAUAUGUGAGCAGUGCUUCUUAUAUUAACAGUAUGGGGAGAGAGAUAUUAGCAUAUGAAUAAGCAACGGCUAACUCCGUGCCAGCAGCCGCGGUAAACUCGU